rnacentral:rRNA from 1 species
AAUAUUGGACAAUGGGGGCAACCCUGAUCCAGCCAUGCCGCGUUUUUGAAGAAGUUCUUCGUAUUGUAAAGCACUUUAGGUGGGUAGGAAGGGCUUUAGGUUAAUACCCUGAAGUUUUGACGCUACCAACAUAAUAAGCACCGGCUAACUCUGUCCCAGCAGCCGCGGUAAUACAGAGGGUGCAAGCGUUAAUCGGAAUUACUGGUCGUAAAGCGCGCGUAGGUUGUUCAGUAAGAUGGGUGUGAAAGCCCCGGGCUUAACCUGGGAACUGCUUUCAUAACUGCUGAGCUAGAGUACGGUAGAGGGUAGUGGAAUUUCCUGCGUAGCGGUGAAAUGCGUAGAUAUAGGAAGGAACACCAGUGGCGAAGGCGACUACCUGGACUGAUACUGACACUGAGGUGCGAAAGCGUGGGGAGCAAAC